rnacentral:rRNA from 1 species
GGUAAUGUCUGGGAAACUGCCUGAUGGAGGGGGAUAACUACUGGAAACGGUAGCUAAUACCGCAUAAUGUCGCAAGACCAAAGAGGGGGACCUUCGGGCCUCUUGCCAUCGGAUGUGCCCAGAUGGGAUUAGCUAGUAGGUGGGGUAACGGCUCACCUAGGCGACGAUCCCUAGCUGGUCUGAGAGGAUGACCAGCCACACUGGAACUGAGACACGGUCCAG